GACGAACGCUGGCGGCGUGAUUAACACAUGCAAGUCGAGCGGUAAGGCCCUUUCGGGGGUACACGAGCGGCGAACGGGUGAGUAACACGUGGGUGACCUGCCCUUAGCUCUGGGAUAAGCCUGGGAAACUGGGUCUAAUACCGGAUAUGACUCCAUGACGCAUGUUGUGGGGUGGAAAGCCUUGUGCGGCUAGGGAUGGGCCCGCGGCCUAUCAGCUUGUUGGUGGGGUGAGGGCCUACCAAGGCGACGACGGGUAGCCGGCCUGAGAGGGCGACCGGCCACACUGGGACUGAGACACGGCCCAGACUCC
rnacentral:rRNA from 1 species